AUUGAACGCUGGCGGCAGGCUUAACACAUGCAAGUCGAGCGGGGUGAUGGUGCUUGCACUAUCACUUAGCGGCGGACGGGUGAGUAAUGCUUAGGAAUCUGCCUAUUAGUGGGGGACAACAUCUCGAAAGGGAUGCUAAUACCGCAUACGUCCUACGGGAGAAAGCAGGGGAUCACUAGUGACCUUGCGCUAAUAGAUGAGCCUAAGUCGGAUUAGCUAGUUGGUGGGGUAAAGGCCUACCAAGGCGACGAUCUGUAGCGGGUCUGAGAGGAUGAUCCGCCACACUGGGACUGAGACACGGCCCAGACUCCUACGGGAGGCAGCAGUGGGGAAUAUUGGACAAUGGGGGGAACCCUGAUCCAGCCAUGCCGCGUGUGUGAAGAAGGCCUUAUGGUUGUAAAGCACUUUAAGCGAGGAGGAGGCUCUUUUGGUUAAUACCCAAGAUGAGUGGACGUUACUCGCAGAAUAAGCACCGGCUAACUCUGUGCCAGCAGCCGCGGUAA
rnacentral:rRNA from 1 species